AGCAGCCGCGGUAAUUCCAGCUCCAAUAGCGUAUAUUAAAGUUGUUGCAGUUAAAAAGCUCGUAGUUGAAUUUCGGGGUUAGUAGGUUGGUCAUGCCUCUGGUAUGUACUGGUCUCACUGGUUCCUCCUUCCUGAUGAGCCGUAAUGCCAUUAAUUUGGUGUUGCGGGGAAUUUGGACUGUUACUUUGAAAAAUUAGAGUGUUUAAAGCAAGCUAACGCUUGAAUACAUUAGCAUGGAAUAAUGAAAUAGGACGUUCGAUCCUAUUUUGUUGGUUUCUAGGAUUGACGUAAUGAUUAAUAGGGAUAGUUGGGGGCAUUAGUAUUCAAUUGUCAGAGGUGAAAUUCUUGGAUUUAUUGAAGACUAACUACUGCGAAAGCAUUUGCCAAGGAUGUUUUCAUUAAUCAAGAACGAAAGUUAGGGGAUCGAAGACGAUCAGAUACCGUCGUAGUCUUAACCAUAAACUAUGCCGACUAGGGAUCGGAUGAUGUUAAUUUUUUAAUGACUCAUUCGGCGCCUUAC
rnacentral:ncRNA from 2 species